rnacentral:lncRNA from 1 species
UUAAUAAUAUGUACCCAAUUUCAAUCAUAUUGGAACAGAUAAGAAAUAGAUCAAGAAAAAAAAUUACAUAACUGCGUUAAUUCUGUCAAAUGGUACUAGUAGAUGAAUUGAAAAAUGUGAUGUAGUAAUAAAUACAAUUAUGAUACCAGUCAAGAAAAACCACUGUUCUUUCUAAUCUCCUAGAAUGCAAAAUAUACAUAUGCCAUCUUGAUUUUCAAGAAUCCCCUGCGUCUCUUUUCACCGACAAAUGCAUAAGAAAUGAAAGACCACCAAAAAUCCAAUAAUAAUGGAGCCAUGAAGUGGAAAAGAAGUUGCCUUUGAAACAUAAAAAUAGUAGUAAGGGUAAUUCUUUUGUCCAUUGGCCGGUGGCGCCUGAGUUGCUGGUAUAUUGAUAAUAUUAGGAGAAUUAGGAGGUGUAGGACAAUUAGAAGAAUGAGAAGGAGGAGGAGGAGCACCAGUAUAUGUAAUGUAAGAUGGUGGUGAAGAUUUAGGUGAUGGCUGUGACGAGGAGGGUGAUGGUGAACGGGGAGAAGACUGAGAUGGCGAGGGGCGGAGUGGGGCGAAAAGUGGUGGCGGUGGUGGUGCUUGUACUAGUACCGAUGAUGGCGAAGGUGGUGGCUUGAGUUUGAUAGGGGAAGGUGGUGGUGAACAAAUAACAGGACAUGUUGAACAAUCACUUAUGCAGAGUAAACCUGCUGGUGUGUUAUUAUUAGUAUCAUGAGAAUUUGCUAGAGAAAAUGUAACACAAAGGAGCAAAAUAGACCAUUUUGCUGUCAUAAGAGCUAGUGAAAGAACUUUGAAAUGAUUAUUAUUAGUUUCUUGAGAAUUUGCUUGAGAAAAUGUAACACAAAGGAGCAAAAUAGACCAUUUUGUUGUCAUGAGAACUAGUGAAAGAACUUUGGCAUGUUUCAUUUUAGUUCAAAGAUAGCCAAAAGGAGGAGUUUGCACUGGUUUUGUGAUUGAAGAAACUUGUGAUGCCAAGUGAUCUUUGCUUUUAUAGAAAACCUUUUAGCCCUUCCAAGAAUCUUAUUCAUGCUUGUUUGAGGCUCUUUCAAAAAGUAGAUAUGAAUAUAUACUUCUUU